rnacentral:lncRNA from 1 species
AGCUAUUACCCUAUUUAUACCCUAUAAUACCAAAAGCACUUACUAAGAUAAAUUUUAUACUUAUUUCAUAUUGUCGACGAUGGUAUUUAUCACCCCCAUUGGUUGCGAGCGAUGCCGCCAUCGUUCUAGUUGUCCCAAAUUUAUUUUUUUAUUUGUUUAAAUUUCAAAUAUGUCCUGCAACAAAAUGCCACCUUGGACAUAAAUUAUUAUUAUUUUUUAAUUUUUUUACUUAAAAAUUAGCUUGUAAUUACAAUUGAAUAGAUUUGAGAUAUUAGUUUAUAUUCCAGUGAACUUCAAGAAUAUUUACUCCUUAAAUGGGCUUUACGAGGAUGAUGAAUAUUUUGAGAAGUUGUUGCCGUUUAAAGUUCUCCUCCCCCAUUGGCUAGCAUGCAUAGGUUUCCACAAAACACGUGAGGAAAAAUAACUUGGUGAAUGUUGGCUAUGCAAGCAAUGGAAAAGUUUGCUGCAAAAAGUCCUCGACAAUGGCAAUAUAGAGUGUUUAUGUUAAUGUAUAUGUCUUAUUUAAUGUUAAUUCGUACACCUAAUUUUAGCAAUGGCCUUAGGGAUUUCCUUAAAAAGAAGAUUGUUUUGGAUCUCAUUAUGGGGUUAUUGUGUAGAAAGGUCUAAUCUUGAUUCUUGAAGGUAGAUAGAGUCUUAUUGCUAUCAAUAUGACAAUAAUUACAAGUAUUUUUAAAAUACAUAGUAUUGCAUUUAGAAUUUUCUUAAACUUUAGUUAGAAACCAAAGAACAAUAAUUGUAAAAAAGAGAGUGAAAUCUUAUUUUUACUUAUAUUUAC